rnacentral:misc_RNA from 1 species
UCUCCAGGGAAAUGUUGCUUCCAUACACUGACAUCCGCAAAUCAAUACAAGGGUGUGCAUACAAUUAGCAUGUCAGAAUGUGCACAACAUUGUAUAAUUCGUGGUUUUCAAGAUUUUAUCACUAAGUUGUGUCCAUCUCCGUAAGUGUUUCAUGUUCUCAAGACAAGGAAUAAAAUGAACAAAGAAGGAUAACAUUAAUGAUCCUACAUUGAUCACUGGAUGCACCAUCAUCAAAUGUAUCAUGAUAUCAUCAAAUAAAAAUAGUUACGAAGGCUGAUAGCUAUAUAACUAAUAUUCAAUCUUCCAUGGUAGCUAAAACUCAGGUUUCUUCCUUGCUGCCAUCCACCUCUACUACCACAAGACAAAUAGAUUCCUAAAACUUCAUUGCGUGAGUAGCUUUGAGUCACAAGCCACUAUUUUAACCCGACCAACAUUCUCCACUGAAUCUUCAUUCUUAAACACUGCAUCCUGUAGAAUGAAAGUCCAAACAUUGUCGCAGAAUCUGUAGGUGUGCAAAUGUCCCUUAAUGGUAACUUUGCUCUUAACUUGACUUUCCAAAGCUUCAGUCAUAGACUUGUCAAA